rnacentral:rRNA from 1 species
GAAAUCCGGAUUAAUACCGCAUACGCCCUACGGGGGAAAGCUGGGGAUCUUCGGACCUGGCACUAGUAGAUGAGCCCGCGUUGGAUUAGCUUGUUGGUGGGGUAAUGGCCUACCAAGGCAACGAUCCAUAGCUGUUCUGAGAGGAAGAUCAGCCACACUGGGACUGAGACACGGCCCAGACCCCUACGGGAGGCAGCAGUGGGGAAUAUUGCACAAUGGGCGCAAGCCUGAUGCAGCAAUACCGCGUGUGUGAAGAAGGCCCGAGGGUUGUAAAGCACUUUCAAUCGUGAAGAAAAGCUCAGGGUUAAUAACCCUGGGUCUUGACAUUAUCGAUACAAGAAGCACCGGCUAACUCCGUGCCAGCAGCCGCGGUAAUACGGAGGGUGCAAGCGUUAAUCGGAAUUACUGGGCGUAAAGCGUGCGUAGGCGGUUUACUAAGUCAGAUGUGAAAGCCCCGGGCUUAACCUGGGAACUGCAUUUGAUACUGGUAGGCUAGAGUAUGAUAGAGGGGGGUAGAAUUCCUGGUGUAGCGGUGAAAUGCGUAGAUAUCAGGAGGAAUACCAGUG